UACGAAGGGGGCUAGCGUUGUUCGGAUUUACUGGGCGUAAAGCGCACGUAGGCGGAUCUUUAAGUCAGAGGUGAAAUCCCAAGGCUCAACCUUGGAACUGCCUUUGAUACUGGGGAUCUUGAGUCCGGGAGAGGUGAGUGGAACUGCGAGUGUAGAGGUGAAAUUCGUAGAUAUUGGGAAGAACACCAGUGGCGAAGGCGGCUCACUGGCCCGGUACUGACGCUGAGGUGCGAAAGCGUGGGGAGCAAACAGG
rnacentral:rRNA from 1 species